UAACGGCUUACCAAGGCAACGAUGCAUAGCCGACCUGAGAGGGUGAUCGGCCACACUGGAACUGAGACACGGUCCAGACUCCUACGGGAGGCAGCAGUAGGGAAUCUUCCGCAAUGGGCGAAAGCCUGACGGAGCAACGCCGCGUGAGUGAUGAAGGUCUUCGGAUCGUAAAACUCUGUUAUUAGGGAAGAACAUAUGUGUAAGUAACUGUGCACAUCUUGACGGUACCUAAUCAGAAAGCCACGGCUAACUACGUGCCAGCAGCCGCGGUAAUACGUAGGUGGCAAGCGUUAUCCGGAAUUAUUGGGCGUAAAGCGCGCGUAGGCGGUUUUUUAAGUCUGAUGUGAAAGCCCACGGCUCAACCG
rnacentral:rRNA from 1 species